AUACGUAGGGUGCGAGCGUUGUCCGGAAUUACUGGGCGUAAAGAGCUCGUAGGUGGUUUGUCGCGUCGUCUGUGAAAUUCCGGGGCUUAACUCCGGGCGUGCAGGCGAUACGGGCAUAACUUGAGUACUGUAGGGGAGACUGGAAUUCCUGGUGUAGCGGUGAACUGCGCAGAUAUCAGGAGGAACACCGGUGGCGAAGGCGGGUCUCUGGGCAGUAACUGACGCUGAGGAGCGAAAGCAUGGGUAGCGAACAGGAUUAGAUACCCUGGUAGUCCAUGCCGUAAACGGUGGGCGCUAGGUGUAGGGGUCUUCCACGACUUCUGUGCCGUAGCUAACGCAUUAAGCGCCUCGCCUGGGGAGUACGGCCGCAAGGCUAAAACUCAAAUGAAUUGACGGGG
rnacentral:rRNA from 1 species